rnacentral:tRNA from 4 species
UCCCCGAUAGCUCAACGGUAGAGCGAGCGGCUGUUAACCGCUAGGUUCUUGGUUCGAAUCCAAGUCGGGGAG